UACGUAGGCAGCGAGCGUUGUUCGGAGUUACUGGGCGUAAAGGGUGCGUAGGCGGUUGUUUAAGUUUGGUGUGAAAUCUCCCGGCUCAACCGGGAGGGUGCGCCGAAUACUGAAUGACUAGAGUGCGGGAGAGGAAAGUGGAGUUCCUGGUGUAGCGGUGAAAUGCGUAGAUAUCAGGAGGAACACCGGUGGUGUAGACGGCUUUCUGGACCGUAACUGACGCUGAGGCACGAAAGCGUGGGUAGCAAACAGG
rnacentral:rRNA from 1 species